rnacentral:rRNA from 1 species
AUGCUCCUCCAGAUCCUCGUGCAUCUGCAGUGCGCCUUCGCCGCCUCGCGCACCGGCGUCCUCUCGCGUCGGUGGCGCGGCCUCUGGGCCCAAUUCCCUGGUCUCACCUUACGCAACAUCCCGGCAGGCCGGGUCAAAGCAGCGCUCGCCCGUGUCCCUCGCCAUACAGCCGUGUCCCUUCUUGACAUCCGUCUCGCCAGGAGUGUGUUGAAGGCGUCGCGUUUGCGUGACGAUGCCCGCGCCAAGUCACUGUUGCGCACCGCCAAGCGGCUCUCACCGGAGGAGCUGAUCUUCAUCCUCCAGCGGGGAACCAUGUUCAAGUCAGGCCCUCCCGUUGACAUCGUCAUGCGCCUUGCUUCCGCCGCGCCACCUCCAUCGAGCUGGACACAGAGGUUGUCUAUCUCUGGCAACAUCAUCGACAUCAACGCCUUUCUCAACCACUGCCCGCGGUUACGUGUGCUCAGGGUCACCUUCCGUGAGGUCGAGCUCGGCUCGCUCCAAGCCGCGCUCGCCACACUCGAUGCGGCCGUGGCCCUCGGCCUCACGGUGUCCCUUCUUGGCAUCGAAUGCGACCAAAUCAAUAAUAGGAGGCACAGUGGCAACGGCGUUCGCUUUGCCUCCCUUAUGCGCGCCGCGGCGUGGCUCUCUCCGCAGGAGCUCAUCUUCACUAACAGCUCUUUCGAAUCCAUUAAUGUCGACCUACCCUACUUCCACCAGGCCACGUCGAUCGAGAUGAAAUUUCACACCUUCCGAUUUACACAGCUACCAGCGAGAGAGUUAUCAGCUCUAUUGUGCCUCACGGGCUUAUCUCCCGUGAUGAAUUGGUCAUAUCUGCCGAUCUGCAUCCACUAUAUUAGUUCCAUUUGGGGCUUAAGAUCUACCGUCAGUUCUGCAACAAUCUUCAGACUACUUGUCGACCCAUCGUGGAUUUGUUCCUGGCUUCCUGUACACAUUGAAAUACAAGAAGGGGCGAUAAAUAAGGCUAGCUUACAUAAUAAAUCUGAAGAAACAGACAGACAUAUCGGGCACAGGGUGCUUCGUGAGGCACGCAAGCGGUUCUAUUCAAUGUUCCACAAACACCUACGCAGGAAGUUUAUGAGGCGGCGCAUACACCUACUCCACAUACUCGGCGGCAAGCCGACAGCAACUGCACUAUCCCACGCAGCCAUGCGCUGGACAAACGGCGACGGCGGCAACCAGAUUUGCGUCAAGUUGUCUUUCUCAAAUUUGAAAAUCUUCAGUUUCCCCUAA